rnacentral:rRNA from 1 species
AACGCGAAGAACCUUACCUACUCUUGACAUCCACGGAAUUUGGCAGAGAUGCCUUAGUGCCUUCGGGAACCGUGAGACAGGUGCUGCAUGGCUGUCGUCAGCUCGUGUUGUGAAAUGUUGGGUUAAGUCCCGCAACGAGCGCAACCCUUAUCCUUUGUUGCCAGCGGUUCGGCCGGGAACUCAAAGGAGACUGCCAGUGAUAAACUGGAGGAAGGUGGGGAUGACGUCAAGUCAUCAUGGCCCUUACGAGUAGGGCUACACACGUGCUACAAUGGCGCAUACAAAGAGAAGCGACCUCGCGAGAGCAAGCGGACCUCAUAAAGUGCGUCGUAGUCCGGAUCGGAGUCUGCAACUCGACUCCGUGAAGUCGGAAUCGCUAGUAAUCGUAGAUCAGAAUG